AUUGAACGCUGGCGGCAGGCCUAACACAUGCAAGUCGAACGAGUGGCGGACGGGUGAGUCAUGUCUGGGAAACUGCCUGAUGGAGGGGGAUAAAUACUGGAAACGGUAGCUAAUACCGCAUCACAUCAGAUGUGACAAGAUGGGAUUAGCUAGUUUGUGGGGUAACGGCUCACCAAGGCGACGAUCCCUAGCUGGUCUGAGAGGAGGACCAGCCACACUGGAACUGGGACACGGUCCAGACGCCUACUGGAGGCAGCAUUGGGGAAUAUUGCACAAUGGGCGCAAGCCUUAUGCAGCCAUGCCGCGUGUAUGAAGAAGGCCUUCGGGUUGUAAAGUACUUUCAGCGGGGAGGCUUUACCCGCAGAAGAAGCACCGGCUAACUCCGUGCCAGCAGCCGCGGUAAUAC
rnacentral:rRNA from 1 species